UUGACGAGGAACCACGGUUCCGAAGUGAUUGAUACCAAGCUUCCAGGAAAAGCCACUAAGCUUCAGUCUAGAGUUGACCGUACCGCAAACCGACACAGGUGGGCAGGAUGAAAAUUCUAAGGCGCUUGAGAGAACUCAGGAGAAGGAACUCGGCAAAUUAACACCGUAACUUCGGGAGAAGGUGUGCCCCGGUAGCGUGUAGAGACUUGCUCUCGAAGCGCGAUGGGGUUGCAGUGAAAUGGUGGCUGCGACUGUUUAAUAAAAACACAGCACUCUGCAAACACGAAAGUGGACGUAUAGGGUGUGACGCCUGCCCGGUGCCGGAAGGUUAAGUGAUGGGGUGCAAGCUCUUGAUCGAAGCCCCGGUAAACGGCGGCCGUAACAAUAACGGUCCUAAGGUAGCGAAAUUCCUUGUCGGGUAAGUUCCGACCUGCACGAAUGGCGUAACGAUGGCCACACUGUCUCCUCCUGGGACUCAGCGAAGUUGAAAUGUUUGUGAAGAUGCAAUCUACCCGCGGCUAGACGGAAAGACCCCAUGAACCUUUACUGUAGCUUUGCAUUGGACUUUGAACCGGUUUGUGUAGGAUAGGUGGGAGACUGUGAAGCCGGGACGCUAGUUUCGGUGGAGUCAACCUUGAAAUACCACCCUGAUUUGUUUGAGGUUCUAACCUUGGUCCGUGAAUCCGGAUCGGGGACCGUGCAUGGUAGGCAGUUUGACUGGGGCGGUCUCCUCCCAAAAGGUAACGGAGGAGUACGAAGGUACGCUUAGGGCGGUCGGACAUCGCCCACAAAGUGCAAUGGCAAAAGCGUGCUUGACUGCGAGACCCACAAGUCGAGCAGGUACGAAAGUAGGUCAUAGUGAUCCGGUGGUUCUGUAUGGAAGGGCCAUCGCUCAACGGAUAAAAGGUACUCUGGGGAUAACAGGCUAAUUCCUCCCAAGAGUUCAUAUCGACGGGGGAGUUUGGCACCUCGAUGUCGGCCCAUCACAUCCUGGGGCUGUAGUCGGUCCCAAGGGUAUGGCUGUUCGCCAUUUAAAGUGGUACGCGAGCUGGGUUUAAAACGUCGUGAGACAGUUUGGUCCCUAUCUGCCGUGGGCGCUGGAAAUUUGAAGGGGGCUGCUCCUAGUACGAGAGGACCGGAGUGGACGAACCUCUGGUGUACCGGUUAUGACGCCAGUCGUAUCGCCGGGUAGCUAAGUUCGGAAGAGAUAAACGCUGAAAGCAUCUAAGCGUGAAACUCGCCUUAAGAUAAGAUUUCCCGGAGUCUUGAACUCCCUGAAGGGUCGUCGAAGACCACGACGUUGAUAGGUCAGGUGUGGAAGCGCAGCAAUGCGUUAAGCUAACUGAUACUAAUUGCCCGUGCGGCUUGAUCC
rnacentral:rRNA from 1 species